AGAUGUUAGACAAAAGGAACUAAAAGAAAAGGCUCAAGACUUACAGCAACAUACAGAGGUUAUUUCUUAUAUUAUACUUAAAGAAGUUGAGUAUAGACUAAGAGAUGCUGUCAGUAACAAAGAAGAGGAGAUAUUUGAAUUGAAGCAAAGAUUAUCAACAACAAUACCCAAGG